CAGCUGUGAUGAGUCAACUUCUGGUCCGUGUUUAUGAAUCUAGUGAUUGUUAUUUGAAGUGCUGAGUUA